CUGUUGGCUGAUUGAAUGAUUGGGAUCCAGAGAAUACUGAUGACCACAAGAAUGAGGAUAAACACUCUGAAAGAUGAUGAUAAAACUCUGUUAGCUCUGCAGGUGGUGGAGUCCACCUGAAAAUGAAGUUUUGCAGCAAAACACACUCCCAGUUACUCUCAGGAUUUCCUAAGAAAAACUCCAAAGGUCACUCUCAGGAACCUUUCCUUGUGUACACAGGAAAAGAGAAAAUUGUUCUCUUCUAGGAAGUAAUUCAACUCAUUCCCAAAGGUAACUUCACAGUCUGAGAGUGAGCUGUGCUAAGACUUGCCAGUCGACAUGCAGGAGAGAUCCACAACAGCAGUGGACCCACAACCAGCCCUUCAGCCUGGUGAGUCCUAGAGAGAGAAAUGAUCUUCAGUGACCUUGCUCUUGGAUGAGACAGAAAGAAGGAGCUGGAAGCUUGUGGAAACAAUCUUUCUGCCACCUUUCCAAGCAGGCACCAGAUUUUUCUCAGUGAGUCCAGCCUGAAGAAUUUAAAUGCUGCAGUCAAAACAGAUGAUGAGAGGAAUAAGACAUAAAUAAAUGUAAGGACCUGCCCACAACCAUCAGCUCCUGCUCUGAAGCCUGUCUGCGGAUCCGCUGCCAGAUGUCUAUAACGAAGAGAGUGCUGCUGCUGUUGAAAAUGGAGGUGAGGGAACUCAUCAAGGCUGCCAUCAUCACUGCAAUCAUCAAACCCCGGAGCCCUGGGGGACCAAAAGAGGGAAGGAAAAUCAGCACUAGACCAUGGGCCCCUGAGCACUGGUAUUUUCAUCCCGAUGUCUGGUAACUGCAGUAAGAUUUCCACAUCCUUGGGAUGGAUAAGGGCAGUCUGGUCCCCUCGUGCAAAGCUCAUGGACACCUCCCCAGGUGUGUUUCUUACCAUCAGGCAUGAGUUCAAUCACCAGUUUGGGGUAGGCAAUGUUGGAACAACCCACUGCAGCUCCACAAACCCUUUUACAUAUGUCUGGGUCCACGCAGCCCACUUCAUCUGUAGAAGACAGGAAAACAACAAGAAGUCAGUGUAAACCCCACUGAGCCACAGGUUGUUUAGUUAAAGGGAACAAAUCCUGAUGCUUUCUAUGGCUUCAUAUAAAUUCAGAGGUGCAGCUGGAAUGCAGCUACAAUGAGGGGAGCUGAACAGUAUUUUACAUCCUAUAAUAAAGGUAAAGCUUU